ACAUAAAGAAGUCUCUUUGAAACUUACAUAGAGCGGGGCUCGCCGGCGCCUCGCCAUCUUGCAAGGAAAGGAGGAUUUUAGUGGAAACCUGACUUUCUGCGACAACUGCAAACACUGAACUGCUGGGAGCACCAGACCACCGGUCCCCUGUCAGCGCAAACAUUUGGAUUCAAAGAAACUCUUCACUGCACCACGGAAAGGGUUCCGUCAGAACCAAAUGCAAUAAUGAAGAUGACUUUUCACGAUUCUAAGUGCUCGACAAAGCCCAGAAGAACCAUGAACAUCUUUUCAUCCUGAUAUCCUAGCAUGUGCAGACACAACUGAGUAUCUUGGGUAUUCCCAAAUUACCAACUUGCCUCAAGUUGAAGAGUGACUCGGAAGUAAAAGAGGUUUCAUAAGC